rnacentral:rRNA from 1 species
GAUGAGAGUUUGAUCCUGGCUCAGAUUGAACGCUGGCGGCAGGCUUAACACAUGCAAGUCGAGCGGAGAUGAGGUGCUUGCACCUUAUCUUAGCGGCGGACGGGUGAGUAAUGCUUAGGAAUCUGCCAUUUAGUGGGGGACAACAUUCCGAAAGGGAUGCUAAUACCGCAUACGUCCUACGGGAGAAAGCAGGGGAUCUUCGGACCUUGCGCUAAAUGAUGAGCCUAAGUCGGAUUAGCUAGUUGGUGGGGUAAAGGCCUACCAAGGCGACGAUCUGUAGCGGGUCUGAGAGGAUGAUCCGCCACACUGGGACUGAGACACGGCCCAGACUCCUACGGGAGGCAGCAGUGGGGAAUAUUGGACAAUGGGGGGAACCCUGAUCCAGCCAUGCCGCGUGUGUGAAGAAGGCCUUUUGGUUGUAAAGCACUUUAAGCGAGGAGGAGGCUACCUAGAUUAAUACUCUGGGAUAGUGGACGUUACUCGCAGAAUAAGCACCGGCUAACUCUGUGCCAGCAGCCGCGGUAGUACAGAGGGUGCGAGCGUUAAUCGGAUUUACUGGGCGUAAAGCGUGCGUAGGCGGCUGAUUAAGUCGGAUGUGAAAUCCCUGAGCUUAACUUAGGAAUUGCAUUCGAUACUGGUCAGCUAGAGUAUGGGAGAGGAUGGUAGAAUUCCAGGUGUAGCGGUGAAAUGCGUAGAGAUCUGGAGGAAUACCGAUGGCGAAGCAGCCAUCUGGCCUAAUACUGACGCUGAGGUACGAAAGCAUGGGGAGCAAACAGGAUUAGAUACCCUGGUAGUCCAUGCCGUAAACGAUGUCUACUAG